UCAUCCUCAGUUCGGACUGGGGUCUGCAACCCGACCCCACGAAGCUGGAUUCGCUAGUAAUCGCGCAUCAGCCAUGGCGCGGUGAAUACGUUCCCGGGCCUUGUACACACCGCCCGUCAAGCCAUGAAAGCCGGGGGGCGCCUGAAGUCCGUGACCGCGAGGGUCGGCCUAGGGUGAAACCGGUGAUUGGGGCUAAGUCGUAACAAGGUACC
rnacentral:rRNA from 1 species